rnacentral:piRNA from 1 species
UGCAUGCACGUGGUGCACAGCCGCA